GGCAGAGGGAGCCGAGUUCCCGCGGACGAGGCGCGGCAACCGCCGCGCGCACACGGUGCUGGUCGACGCCAGCACCUACGUGAGGAAAGUCCCCCCACCGUCCGGGCAGGCGACCGGGCGCAAGCCCGGAGCGGGAGACCGCUGGCUCUGGAACAGAAACGAGACCACUUCGCCCGACCGAUGAGGUGCGCGAACCCCGACCGACCGAAGGCUCGCGCCGAGUAAAGGAACGGGAAGCUAACCCACCGAGGAUCGAAGGUGAAGGACGGAUGGAACGGCGAAUCCUCGCCGGUGCAAGUCCGCGCCGCGACGCCUCGCAUCGACACCGAUGCGGGCGUCGUCAAGGUAGCCCGACAGACGGCGCGGACGCUCAGCCGAAUACUCGGACGAACAGAAGGGGGCUUACUCCCCUCAGCC
rnacentral:RNase_P_RNA from 1 species